CCCGUGUUAUUUCCCCCUAUUUCAGGACACUGGGUUUCGGUUGGUGUUACUGUUUUUCUCGUGUUGGGGGUAUCCUCGCUCCCUUUGUUAUUGACCUGCAAUCAUCCCCAAUGAGGUCACAUGGUAUAAUUGGCUGUUUUUCGUUGGUUACUGCACUUUUCGCCCUGACGCUCAAAGAGACGAGGGGAAUGGCCAGUUCCGAUACAAGCCUAUGUUACGACAACAAUGGGAUACAGUCAGUCUCCACCGAUACACCUGUCGGCAGCAAUUUGUCGAUACAAGCCCGUGAUACAAGCUACAGCUACAAGAGUUUCGACGGAAGACCUACGAUGAAAAGUGACAUGACACAUGGCUGUUACGACACUGAGACAAACGAAAGGACUCCUAUACUGAAGUAAUUUCCAGUAUUUAUGGACGUACGCAAGCACUUAACAGUACAUAGUGAUAUUUUUCAUAUCGACGUAUUCAAAGCUUGCUUAUUCAUUUGAGUUUGGGCUCAGUAUUGAAAUUUGUUGUCUUAAUUAAAGCUUGUAUUUUAAGAAAUAAGCUUUUUCACUGCGAGAAAUGAGAAAGGUUAGUUGGGUAUUUACAUGUACAAUAUAUACACAGCGUUUUUGAGUUCAUGUCGUUUUGCAUUGUUUUUGUACUGACUUAAUAUCUCUCAGGUGUUCAUACUUCUAAUCUACCAUGUAGAUGUCGAAGCGUUCAUUAUAAUGUUAGAUUAUUUCAAAUCUAUAUGUGACACAACUUGUCGUCUUUUAAAAAUAAAACACAAAUGUUGAUGUCCUGUGAUUCCCCAAAACAUUGUAUUAAAGAUAAAGAAGAAACCAAA